rnacentral:lncRNA from 1 species
UUUUAUUGUUUUAAUAAAUUUUAUUGUGUAUAUUUAAGGUAUGCAACGUGAUGUUACAAAGUACAAACAGAUAGCAAAAUGGUUACUACUACAGGGGAGCAAUUAACUUUCCCAUCACCUCCCAGAGUCAACCAUUUUUAGAAUUUUGUGGCAAGAGUAGCUGAAGUCUAGUCAUUUAGCAGGAACUCCCAAAACAGUGCAAUUUUAUUACCUACAGUCCUCCUGUUGUACAUCAGAUCACCAGACUGGUUCAUCCUACAUAUUUUAAGGUAGAAACCCAUCUACCUGCGGGGCUGAGAAUGCACUGUUGGAGCAGGGGUAGGAGAUGAGGUUUCCAGGUCUCCUGGGCAGUAGAGGACAGUGCCAGUGGGCCACGGUGGGGGACUGGCGGGGAGCAGUUAAGAGGAGGUCAAGGUCUGUGGCUACAGGAAAAGCCUGCAGGAUUCCUUUGCAGACCUACUGUGGACUGUUAGUGAAGACGACUCAGAGACAGCUCUGAGAUGUCUGUCUGAGGACUGCAGGGAUUGGGCCCCUGGGUGAGUCUGGGAUGAAGGCGUGGUUGGACCUGGAAGAGGGUUUGGAAGAGAGACCCACGUCGGAGAGGCAAGUGUGAGGUCACCAUGGGGGUCUGGGUAAGACAGAGAGGCCACACGAGGAUGCCAAGAGUCCAUCCACAUGAAGAGGGUGGAGUGGAGAGGACACAAGGGAGAUGGAGGAUUAUCAGCAAGGCCAGAGGAAGCCCUUGUGGAGGGAAUGUCCCUACACAAAAAUCCAUUCAAAACAGACAAGGGCUUAAUUGUAAGGCCUGAAACUGUAAAGCCAGCAGAAGAAAACACAGGUGAAAAACCCCAUGACACUGACCUAGGCUUUAGGGUCAUAUCACUUCUUGCAUGUGACCCUAAAAGCACAAGCAACAAAAGAAAAAUAAACAGGAUUGCAUAGAGCUAAAAUGCUUCUGCACAGCAAAGGAAAUCAUCAACAGAGUGAAGACAACUCACAAAUCAGGAGAGAAUAUUUGCAAACCAUACAUUAGGUAGGGGGUUAAUAUCCAAAAUAUACAUGGAACUCAAACUCAAUAGCAGGAAAGAAAAUAAACAACUAAAAAAUGGACAAAGAACCUGAAGAGACAUUUCUCAAAAGAAGACACACCAAUGGCCAACAGGUAUACGAAAAAAUGCUCAACAUCAUUAAUCAUCAGGGAAAUGCAAACCAAAUCAAAAUGAGAUUAUCUCACACUUCUUAGAAUGACUAAUUUCAAAGACAACAAAUGUUGGCGAGGAUGUAAAUUAUUAUAGCCAUUAUGGAGAAACAUAUGGAGGUUAUUCAAAAACUUAAAAAGUUGAGUACUGUGACCCAGCAAUCCUACUGCUAAGUAUUUUCCAAAAGGAAAUGACAUAAAUAUGUGGAAGAGAUACCCACACUGUGUUUCUUACAGCACUUUUACAACAACCAAGAUAGGCAAUCAACCUACGUGGUCUAGAAGCAAAGUGGAUAAAGGGAUACAGUGGAAAAAUUGAUUAAGAAAAUGUGGUAUAUACACACAAUGGAAUACUAUUUAGCCAUAAUAAAGGAAACCCUGCUAUUUGCAACAUGGGUGAAUCUAGAGGACAUUAUUAAAGUGAAAUAAGCCAAGACAAAUAUCGCAUGAUCUCACUUAUAUGUGGAAUCAAAAUGUUGAUUUAUAGAAAUAGAACAGUAGUUAGCAGGGGCUGAGACAAGAGGAUUUGGGGAAAUUCUAGUCAAAGGGUAC